rnacentral:rRNA from 1 species
AUGCUCCGAUUGCUAUUGCACCACAUGUGUUUUUCUUUGAAACAAACUUGCUUUGGCGGUGGGCCCAGCCUGCCGCCAGAGGUCUAAACUUACAACCAAUUUUUUAUCAACUUGUCACACCAGAUUAUUACUUAAUAGUCAAAACUUUCAACAACGGAUCUCUUGGUUCUCGCAUCGAUGAAGAACGCAGCGAAAUGCGAUACGUAAUAUGAAUUGCAGAUAUUCGUGAAUCAUCGAAUCUUUGAACGCACAUUGCGCCCUCUGGUAUUCCGGAGGGCAUGCCUGUUUGAGCGUCGUUUCUCCCUCAAACCGCUGGGUUUGGUGUUGAGCAAUACGACUUGGGUUUGCUUGAAAGACGGUAGUGGUAAGGCGGGAUCGCUUUGACAAUGGCUUAGGUCUAACCAAAAACAUUGCUUGCGGCGGUAACGUCCACCACGUAUAUCUUCAAACUUUGACCUCAAAUCAGGUAGGACUACCCGCUGAACUUAAGCAUAUCAAUAAAGCGGAGGAA